rnacentral:sRNA from 10 species
UGAUACUAGGGUCAAAAGCUCCAAAAAGCCGUUCGUGCUUGCACGAUAAGGGUUUUGAGCUUGGGACCCGCAAAAAACAUGAGGAUGCAGCGAUUUUCAAAGAAAAUCAGCGAAUCCGAAUGUUUUUAGAAUUGCGAAAGUUGCAUCGCAACGGAGCAAUUCGUGGGUAUCA